rnacentral:rRNA from 1 species
AAAGAUUAAGCCAUGCACGUCUAAGUAUAAGCAAUUUGUACUGUGAAACUGCGAAUGGCUCAUUAAAUCAGUUAUCGUUUAUUUGAUAGUACCUUACUACAUGGAUACCUGUGGUAAUUCUAGAGCUAAUACAUGCUAAAAACCUCGACUUCGGAAGGGGUGUAUUUAUUAGAUAAAAAACCAAUGCCCUUCGGGGCUCCUUGGUGAAUCAUAAUAACUUAGCGAAUCGCAUGGCCUUGCGCCGGCGAUGGUUCAUUCAAAUUUCUGCCCUAUCAACUUUCGAUGGUAGGAUAGUGGCCUACCAUGGUGGCAACGGGUAACGGGGAAU